rnacentral:rRNA from 1 species
CGGUGGAUGAUGUGGAUUAAUUCGAUGCAACGCGAAGAACCUUACUACCCUUGACAUGUCCGGAACUUGCCAGAGAUGGCUUGGUGCCCGAAAGGGAAUCGGAACACAGGUGCUGCAUGGCUGUCGUCAGCUCGUGUCGUGAGAUGUUGGGUUAAGUCCCGCAACGAGCGCAACCCUUAUCAUUAGUUGCUACGCAAGGGCACUCUAAUGAGACUGCCGGUGACAAACCGGAGGAAGGUGGGGAUGACGUCAAGUCCUCAUGGCCCUUAUGGGUAGGGCUUCACACGUCAUACAAUGGUCGGUACAGAGGGUUGCCAAGCCGCGAGGCGGAGCCAAUCCCACAAAGCCGAUCGUAGUCCGGAUUGUUCUCUGCAACUCGAGAGCAUGAAGUCGGAAUCGCUAGUAAUCGCGAGUCAGCAUAUGCGGUGAAUACGUUCCCGGGUCUU